rnacentral:lncRNA from 1 species
UCCAAGAUAAUCCAGCUAACAUGUUUUCCUGCAACACUAAGCUAUGCCAACACAAAGCUAAGCUAAGGUCAUCUCAGACAAAAAGAGGAACCAAACUCCAGAACCGCAGGCCCCUCGUUGGCUCCGUGACAGGGACACGAUGGCGGAACGUGUGCGAUAUGUCGUCGGGCUCGGGACGGGGCGGCCUCCGUCCUCUCUGCGAGCUGACUGAUCACAUUAAUAUUAGCCGAAGCUCUUCUGUCAGCGAGGGGAGUUAUGGCCCGGCAAAAAGGGACCUCGGGUCGGAACGGGCGUCCGGUGACAGGGAGUCGGCUCGGGGGAUGAAUCCGAGGUGAUUGGACGUGAAGGGUCUUUGCUUUUCUAUCCAGCUCCUUUUCUUUGAGUAAUAAAACCUUUUUACCUUCUGAAUGUUCCUGUUUUCUGCUGAGUCAGUUCUGGAAACGAGAAGAGACAGAACAUCCUCGGUCCCCAACGAGGAUCGCUAACCCUCAGCACCUUAAGCUAGCAAAGGAACAUCCGAUGGAUUCCAUAAGGUUCCCUCCUGAGAUCCUCUGACACGUUUGAUCCAUGUGAAUCCCCCAACCCCAAAAUGAUCUACAACAUCUGCCGUUCUCCGUCCGAAAGGGAACGUUUUCCCUCUUCAGAUGUCGUCAUGUCUGAAAUUACUGAGCGCUCUCUUCAUUGUUCCACCGGAUUUGGUUUCUGGUCGUGUUCAGCCGUACCAAACGAGGGAAAGUUCUCAUCGUUCCCUGAUUUAUGGACGUUGUUCCGUGAGCUCCGAUGAGGUAACCGCUCCUUCAUCUUCAAUAUCACUGAGGUCGGGCUCUGAAACCCUUAAAAACCUUUAGCCCCGCCCCCAAAUUAGCUGG